GUAAUAUAAGAUACGGUCUCUUAACUUUUAACUUAAAAAAAGCUAAGAGACGUCUCUUAAAUAAGAGAUAUAAGAGACGUCUCUUAGCUUUUUUAGUUAAAAGAUAAGAGAUUGUAUCUUAUAUUAC
rfam:Brassica oleracea var. oleracea cultivar TO1000 chromosome C7, whole genome shotgun sequence